rnacentral:rRNA from 1 species
GAUGAACGCUGGCGGCGUGCUUAACACAUGCAAGUCGAACGAAGCACUUAAGAUUGAUUCUUCGGAUGACGUCUUUUGUGACUUAGUGGCGGACGGGUGAGUAACGCGUGGGUAACCUGCCUCACACAGGGGGAUAACAGUUAGAAAUGACUGCUAAUACCGCAUAACCCGAUAGGAUCGCAUGAUCCAGACGGAAAAGAUUUAUCGGUGUGAGAUGGACCCGCGUCUGAUUAGCUAGUUGGUGAGGUAACGGCACACCAAGGCGACGAUCAGUAGCCGGCCAGAGAGGGUGAACGGCCACAUUGGGACUGAGACACGGCCCGAACUCCUACGGGAGGCAGCAGUGGGGAAUAUUGCACAAUGGGGGAAACCCUGAUGCAGCGACGCCGCGUGAGUGAAGAAGUAUUUCGGUAUGUAAAGCUCUAUCAGCAGGGAAGAAAAUGACGGUACCUGACUAAGAAGCCCCGGCUAACUACGUG